rnacentral:rRNA from 1 species
AACGAACGCUGGCGGCAGGCUUAACACAUGCAAGUCGAACGCCCCGCAAGGGGAGUGGCAGACGGGUGAGUAACGCGUGGGAAUCUACCCAGAUCUACGGAACAACAGAGGGAAACUUCUGCUAAUACCGUAUACGCCCUACGGGGGAAAGAUUUAUCGGAUUUGGAUGAGCCCGCGUAAGAUUAGCUAGUUGGUGGGGUAAUGGCCUACCAAGGCGACGAUCUUUAGCUGGUCUGAGAGGAUGAUCAGCCACACUGGGACUGAGACACGGCCCAGACUCCUACGGGAGGCAGCAGUGGGGAAUAUUGGACAAUGGGCGCAAGCCUGAUCCAGCCAUGCCGCGUGAGUGAUGAAGGCCUUAGGGCUGUAAAGCUCUUUCACCGAUGAAGAUAAUGACGGUAGUCGGAGAAGAAGCCCCGGCUAACUUCGUGCCAGCAGCCGCCGUAA